rnacentral:rRNA from 1 species
AUUGAACGCUGGCGGCAUGCCUUACACAUGCAAGUCGAACGGUAACGCGGGGCGAACCUGGCGACGAGUGGCGAACGGGUGAGUAAUGCAUCGGAACGUGCCCAGUAGUGGGGGAGUAGCCCGGCGAAAGCCGGAUUAAUACCGCAUACGACCUACGGGUGAAAGGGGGGGAUCGCAAGACCUCUCGCUAUUGGAGCGGCCGAUGUCAGAUUAGGUAGUUGGUGGGGUAAAGGCUCACCAAGCCGACGAUCUGUAGCUGGUCUGAGAGGACGACCAGCCACACUGGGACUGAGACACGGCCCAGACUCCUACGUGAGGCAGCAGUGGGGAAUUUUGGACAAUGGGCGCAAGCCUGAUCCAGCCAUGCCGCGUGCGGGAAGAAGGCCUUCGGGUUGUAAACCGCUUUUGUCAGGGAAGAAAUCUUUUGAGUUAAUACCUCGAGAGGAUGACGGUACCUGAAGAAUAAGCACCGGCUAACUACGUG